GCACCCGUAGCUCAGCUGGAUAGAGCGCCGCCCUCCGAAGGCGGAGGCCAGAGGUUCGAAUCCUCUCGGGUGCG
rfam:Jannaschia donghaensis strain CECT 7802 genome assembly, contig: 0012